AAUAUAUUAUUGAAUUUGUUUUAGUAAGGGUUAUUAAUUAAAAUAAUUUUAGUGAUGAGGUUUUAGUAUAGUUUAUAGAAUUUAUAAGGUGUAUAAUAGUGUAGUAGUACUGCAAGGGAAAUGUGAAAUAGAUGAAAUAGUUAUUAGGAUAAAAGAAGAACAUAGUUUGUACCUUGGGUGUCAGGGUUUAUUAAUUAAUGAUAGUGAUUUAUAAUUUCCCGAAUUAAGAAGGGCUAAAAUCAUAUGGUAGUUAAUGUGGUAUUAUUAUUAGUAAUAUUAUUUUAGUAAUGAAAUGUUAAACGUUUUUUAAGUUAUCUGGUUUUUUAAGAAAUGAAUUUAAUUCAUAGUAUUGGAAGUAAAUAUUUAAUUUAAAAUUAAUAAUUUAUUUUUUUGAUACUAAAUACACAAAGGGAUAAGCUUUUGUGUAAAUAUUAUAAAUUGUGAAAUUGACAAAGAGUAGUAGGCUUUAAAUUAGCUAUCGGUGAAAUAAUGUUAUAAGUUGUUUUGUGGUUGAAUUAUUUUUUAAAAGUUUUAAUUUAUUUAUUGAAAUAUUAUACUAAAUAGGAUGGUAUAAGUAAUGAUGAUGAAAUGAGUAUAUAUAUAUAUUUGUUAUUUUUUUUUAGUUAAGGAAAUUUACAAUAAGGAAUUAGGCAAAUUAGCACUCGCCUGUUUAUCAAAAACAUCUCCUUUUGGUUUAUAUGCAAGGUAGGGCCUGCCCACUGAAAUUAAUUUAAAGGGCCGCGGUAUCAUGACCGUGCAAAGGUAGCAUAAUCAUUAGUCCUUUAAUUGAGGGCUGGAAUGAAUGGUUUGACGAAGUGCUGACUGUCUCAUUGUAAUAAAUAGAAGUUAACUUUUAAGUUAAAAGGCUUAAAUUUUUGUGGAGGACGAGAAGACCCUAUAGAGCUUUAUAUAUAUAUUUAAAUUUAUAUUUAGAAGUUUAUAAAAAUUUAGGUUGAUUAUAUUGUGUUGGGGUGACAUAAAGAUAAAGUUAACUCUUUAUUUUAAGAACAUUGAUUUAUGGAUUAUUGAUCCAUUCUUAAUGAUUAUAAGAUUAAGUUACCUUAGGGAUAACAGCGUAAUUUUUCUUGAGAGUUCAUAUCAACAGAGAAGAUUGCGACCUCGAUGUUGGAUUAAGGAGCAUAAUUAGAUGUAGCAGUUUAAUUAAUAGGUCUGUUCGACCUUUAAAUCCUUACAUGAUCUGAGUUCAGACCGGUGUAAGCCAGGUCGGUUUCUAUCCUUAUUAAAUUUUUAUACUUUAGUACGAAAGGACCAAGUAUUUUAAAUAUUUUAUUAUAUUUGAUUAUUAUUA
rnacentral:rRNA from 1 species